rnacentral:misc_RNA from 1 species
GAUGAAGAACGCAGCGAAAUGCGAUACGUAGUGUGAAUUGCAGAAUUCAGUGAAUCAUCGAAUCUUUGAACGCACAUUGCACCUCUCGGUAUUCCGGGAGGUAUGCCUGUUCGAGCGUCAUUUGUACCCUCAAGCUCUGCUUGGUGUUGGGUGUUUGUUCCGCCACUGUGUGUGAACUCGCCUCAAAACAAUUGGCAGCCGGCGUACUUGUUUCGGAGCGCAGCACAUUUUGCGAUCCAGAUCAACGUACAGCGGCAUCCAAGAAGCCUUAUUUAACGCUCUUGACCUCGGAUCAGGUAGGGAUACCCGCUGAACUUAAGCAUAUCAAUAAGCGGAGGA